rnacentral:rRNA from 1 species
UACGUAGGGUGCGAGCGUUAAUCGGAAUUACUGGGCGUAAAGCGUGCGCAGGCGGUUUUGUAAGCCCGAUGUGAAAGCCCCGGGCUCAACCUGGGAAUGGCAUUUGGGACUGCAAGGCUUGAGUGCGGCAGAGGAGACUGGAAUUCCUGGUGUAGCAGUGAAAUGCGUAGAUAUCAGGAGGAACACCGAUGGCGAAGGCAGGUCUCUGGGCCAUAACUGACGCUGAGAAGCGAAAGCAUGGGGAGCGAACAGG